rnacentral:misc_RNA from 1 species
ACAAACUUGGUCAUUUAGAGGAAGUAAAAGUCGUAACAAGGUUUCCGUAGGUGAACCUGCGGAAGGAUCAUUAAAAAGUUUUGCCCUUCGGGGUGAUGCGGCACGACGCCGUCGCGGUUUUCCGCGGCGGUUGAAGGCUCGAAACCCAUUGUGAAAACCCCCAAGUUGCUUCGGCAGCGCGCCCUCCGGGAUUCGUUUUCCGGCGGGCGGUCAGCCUGCCGACGGCACCCAGGAAACUCUUUUUUUACUUUGUAUUAUCAACCGUCUGAACGCGCAAAGUCUAAUGACUAUAAAACUUUCAACAACGGAUCUCUUGGUUCCCGCAUCGAUGAAGAACGCAGC